CACCAGGAGGCUCCUGCUGGGGAUGCUCCUGGGAGCAAUGGACCAGGAGCAGAGGGCGACUGGGAGAGAAGAGGUUGCACAGCCGACACAUGAACACAGAACCAUCUGGAAAGACAGGGAGAAGGAAGGUUCUGAUGAUGUCUUAAAACUUUCAUUACUUCUGAUCUAACGGUGGAGGAGUCAACUCUUCAGGAAACACAUGUUCACAGACUCGGACCAAACUCUGCACAACACGUGGAUUCGAAAGUGAGGAUCAUAUCAACGGAGUCCACCGAAAAUGCCGGAUUCUUACAAUGAAUGGUUUCAAAUGUAGAAGCGUUUGGUUAUUUUGAUUCGGCCUGAGCGAAAAUGCAGAUCCGACAUAUUCGAGUUGAAGCAAAAAUUCUUACCUGCUCCCUGUGCAUCCAUUUCUCCAGCGCAUGAGCAGCUAAAUAAAACUAAUUUAUCAACGGGCACGCGCCAUCAUACGACUAAAUAUAACCUCUACUUUAGAUUUAGAGCGAAUUUUGCAUUACGUGUGUAGAAAUUUCUGUCGAAUCUGCGACACGAGUAAUUCCCACCAGCGGAAGCGUAGACUGUAUCGAACAGGAUCUGGUGGUAAUGUAGCACACAGCGAUCUCUGUGGCUGGAAGACUGAAUUGCAGUUGGGUGGGGAAAGCCAGCAUCCUCAAGAAUAUUUUUUUUUCCUCAAAUAGAUUCAAUUUUAUUCCCUCUACCACUGUUAUUAUUGUAUUACUAUCCAACAUAUUUGUGUCAAGAGGUGUCAAAACUGUUGGGAGUCUCACAGAGUAAUGCUCAAUUACAAUAGAGUUUGUGAUUUUAUGUUGGAUAAUUUCCAGCAAAAUGGAACAUAAUUAGACCAUCCAACGUUAUAGUACAAAUUAAUGAGAACUUUGGAACAAAUAAAUAACUGAAAUAAGUA